UCUCACUGCAGCAUGGCUGAGGCCCUGUCUGGAUAAUACCACAGAUACUGGCCACCUGGUCUACUGCUGCCAAUUCCAGCAACAGAAGAGCUGCAAAAUCCCUUUAUUCUGCAAAUUUGUGCUGUCAAUGGAGGAUGUGACGAAUUCCCAGGGAUGGACAAGAACUAUGAGUCAAACUGAGCAUCAUGCUGAAUUAUAGAAACAGCUGAAACAGCUGUCAAAGGAGACUGUGAUCCACUGUGACAGUACGUCGUCGGGUCACAUGAAACUGCACUGGGGCACCUUGCCUACCUGACUGAAUGGAGACAGGGGUUCCGUCGACGAAGAGUGAGAAAAAUCAGUCAUGGGAAUGUCACUCACGUCACCUUCACUGAGAUAAAGACUGUUAUACGUAGGGAAGGGCUGCCAUUUUACUGAGCUUAUUCCUAAAUUAGGUACACAUCUGACAGGUUAAAUAUAUUUUAUAUUUUGGACUUGCCCUUACUCACAUGUCCUUAUUUUAGUGUGUAUGCCAGACAAUGUACUAAAUAUUAGGUAUAUGAAGUGGCCUUCUAUAUCUAAAUUAUUGAGACUAAAUGGCAACUUUGCUAUAGUCAAGCCGAAAAGUAACAGCUCCUUCUGAAAGUAUCCUUCCCAGUAAAUGCAGAUACUUCCAUGUCAUCAAUAUCUUCUUUUCAUGGGUGUUAUUAAAACAAACAAAGAGAUUAUCAAGGCACCUGGUACUGUGUGGUUUUAUAUGUAUAACAACAUAGGCUGCUCACAGCAAUCCUUUCUCCGGUCUCUAAGAGAGGAAGCUGCUGAGGCUCAGGGAAGUUGGGUGACGUCUUCAGGGUCACACAGCUCAUAAGGAGAGGAGUCUGGACUUGAACCUAGGUCUCUUGCCUUUCAAAUCCAGGGCUCUUAGUGCCCAUGCCUUAUUAUCUUUCCUCUAUGUGUUAACAGAGCAAUAAAAAAAAAUCCCUAUUCAAAAAUGGAAGCUAUAGUUGAGAUGCAACAAUGGCGGAACUAUUUUAAAUACACUUAUUUACAUUACACAUUUUCUAUGUUACUUGUAUAAGGCAAAGAGGUUACAUAUCAAUACAUUUUUAAAUACCUACUAUUGAAUCAGUGAUUCAGUUAAAGCAGACCUUAACAAAGGAAAUCCUAAAAUUUGUUCUUUCAUACAUUACAGCAUAUGUACUUGUAGAAGCCCUGAGAUUUAUUUAAACGGUUACAUUUUAUGAACACUCACCUAGUAGACUCAGGGUAAUAGAGAUUUAAAGUGUAAUAGUUCUACAAGCUCAGUUUAUAAAUUAACUUGUCAGCUAUAUGUUCACAACAUACUCAGAACUUGACCACCCCUGACCACUUCUGCUGCUCCCUGCUUCCAGUCGUCACCAGCUCUCCCCCAGGUAUGGCUGUAGCCUCCCUGGUCUCUCUCCUGCGGUCUUUUCUUUGUCAGGGUAUUGCCUACACACUAUCGUGAGCCAUUUUCCAGUGUGCAUCAUAUCCCUGUAGUGGUAACACUUAUCGUAAAAGCCAAAGCCCGCUCUGCUCUCCUCUGCCCCCUCAUGGCAAGUCCCUCCACUCCAGCCAUGCUAGCCUCCUAGCUAGUCGUCAAACAGAGGAAGCAUGCUCUGCCUCAGGGCCUUUGCACAUGCAGCUCUGUGGCCCAGGAGCCUUUCCCUAGGCACACACAUGGUUUGCUCACUCACUUCCUUCUCAUCUCUACUGACAUGACUCAGGAUUAGCGAGGUUAUAUCCAACCACCUGACGUAAGAGUGUAACCUCCCAUUUCCACAGGCCUCUUUAUUGCUUGCCAUUGUACAUAUUGCCAUCAUCCAAUAUAUUUACUUGUUUAUCGUCUGUCUCCUUUGUGCUGUACCCCUAGUGCAUAGAACAGUAGUUAAUGUUCAAUAUAUAAAUGCUAAAGAAAUGAAUGAGUGCUAUAUAGAAUAAAAAAUAUCAGUUAUAUACAAUGGUAAGAAUUUAUCAAUCAGUAAUAUCACAAAUAUUAUUAUUAGUAUUAAUAUGGCAUGAAUUAUUUGGAAUGUUUUUAUUACAUAAUGUAGGUAAAAUAGGAAACUUUUUGAAAAGCAGGCAGUAGCAGGAAUUAUAGUUAAGAAUUCUGGGUAAAAAGAUCUUUAACAAAAGUUAUCAUGUAUUUACACUUAGCAGAGAAGUUUUAGUGUUUACCUGCCAUUUUAAUUAUUAGUGAAAUGCAGUGCUUUAAAUCUCAAGAACAGAAUGUUUUUUUCCUGAGAUGAUAAAAGCAAAAAUAAUGCCUCUUUGACAUUGAUAAAAAGAUGAUGUUAAAAUGUGGUUAUUUAAAAUUCUAACAGGAUGACCAGUUUUCUGAUUUUAAUGUUAACUGGGGUUUCACUCUAUGCCUAACAAUAUUAAAGUGGUUCCAAUGAAAAGGAAGGGUAUCCUUAUAUACUGAGAGUUAAUGUUGUCACUCUUUCCUGAGGCUUGUAGUUACUGAAGUUACAUGAUUUUAAUAAAAAUAGAGUGCUAUGUGAAAUAA